rnacentral:rRNA from 1 species
UGCAAGUCGAGGGGUAUAGUAGCAAUACUAGAGACCGGCGCGCGGGUGCGUAACGCGUAUGCAAUCUACCUUUUGCAGAGGGAUAGCCCAGAGAAAUUUGGAUUAAUACCUCAUAGUAUAACGACUCGGCAUCGAGAUGUUAUUAAAGUCACAACGGCAAAAGAUGAGCAUGCGUCCCAUUAGUUAGUUGGUAAGGUAACGGCUUACCAAGACUACGAUGGGUAGGGGUCCUGAGAGGGAGAUCCCCCACACUGGUACUGAGACACGGACCAGACUCCUACGGGAGGCAGCAGUGAGGAAUAUUGGACAAUGGGCGCAAGCCUGAUCCAGCCAUGCCGCGUGCAGGAUGACGGUCCUAUGGAUUGUAAACUGCUUUUGCACAGGAAGAAACAACGCUACGUGUAGCGUCUUGACGGUACUGUGAGAAUAAGGAUCGGCUAACUCCGUGCCAGCAGCCGCGGUAAUACGGAGGAUCCAAGCGUUAUCCGGAAUCAUUGGGUUUAAAGGGUCCGUAGGCGGUCUUAUAAGUCAGUGGUGAAAUCUCCCCGCUCAACGGGGAAACGGCCAUUGAUACUGUAGGACUUGAAUUAUUAGGAAGUAACUAGAAUAUGUAGUGUAGCGGUGAAAUGCUUAGAGAUUACAUGGAAUACCAAUUGCGAAGGCAGGUUACUACUAAUGGAUUGACGCUGAUGGACGAAAGCGUGGGUAGCGAACAGGAUUAGAUACCCUGGUAGUCCACGCCGUAAACGAUGGAUACUAGCUGUUGGGCGCAAGUUCAGUGGCUAAGCG